CUCAAAUUUGAGAUGGAUCAUUCAAGUUUCUGCCCUAUCAGCUUUCGAUGGUAGUGUAUUGGACUACCAUGGCAGUCACGGGUACGGAGAAUUAGGGUUUGAUUCCGGAGAGGGAGCCUGAGAAACGGCUACCACAUCUAAGGAAGGCAGCAGGCGCGUAAAUUACCCAAUCCUGAUUCAGGGAGGUAGUGACAAGAAAUAACAACCUGGGGGCCAUCUGGCCUUACGGGAUUGCAAUGAGGACAAUUUAAACCACUUAGCGAGGAACAAUAGGAGGGCAAGUCUGGUGCCAGCAGCCGCGGUAAUUCCAGCUCCUAUAGCGUAUAUUAAAGUUGUUGCAGUUAAAAGCUCGUAGUUGAACUUCUGGCUGUUGCUAGUUUCGGCCUCGGUCGAGCUAGUGGCAGUCAUCCGUCUGCGAACCGCACUCGGCCUUCACUGGUUCGAUACGGGGAGUAGGCACUUUACUUUGAAAAAAUUAGAGUGUUCCAGGCAGGCAAUUGCCAGAAUACAUUAGCAUGGAAUAAUGGAAUAGGACUCUGGUCCAUUUGGUUGGUUAUUGGAUUAGAGUAAUGAUUAAUAGGGACAGUUGGGGGCAUUAGUAUUUAAUUGUCAGAGGUGAAAUUCUUGGAUUUAUUAAAGACUAACUUAUGCGAAAGCAUUUGCCAAGGAUGUUUUCAUUAAUCAAGAACGAAAGUUAGGGGAUCAAAUACGAUCAGAUACCGUAGUAGUCUUAACUAUAAACUAUACCGACUCAGGAUCGGAUGGGUCUUCAAAGCCUAUUCGGCACUGUAUGAGAAAUCAAAGUCUUUGGGUUCUGGGGGGAGUAUGGUCGCAAGGCUGAAACUUAAAGGAAUUGACGGAAGGGCACCACCAGGAGUGGAGCCUGCGGCUUAAUUUGACACAACACGGGGAGACUUACCAGGUCAAAACAUGGGUGGGAUUGACAGAUUGAGAGCUCUUUCUCGAUUCUAUGGGUGGUGGUGCAUGGCCGUUCCUAGUUGGUGGAGUGAUUUGUCUGGUUAAUUCCGAUAACGAACGAGACCUUAACCUGCUAACUAGUCUUUCAGUCUCCAACUGGAAGUACUUCUUAGAGGGACUAUGCGGCUGAAACGCAUGGAAGUUUGAGGCAAUAACAGGUCUGUGAUGCCCUUAGAUGUCCUGGGCCGCACGCGCGCUACAAUGACAUGCUCAGCAAGUUCUACCCUGGCUCGGAAGAGUUCGGGUAAUCUCCAUAAUACAUGUCGUGUUAGGGAUCGAUCUUUGAAAUUAUAGAUCUUGAACGAGGAAUUCCUAGUAAGUGCAAGUCAUCAGCUUGUACUGACUACGUCCCUGCCCUUUGUACACACCGCCCGUCGCUCCUACCGAUUUCGAGUGAUCCGGUGAACAUUCUGGACUGAGGCU
rnacentral:rRNA from 1 species